AAAGAGCCACACGUGGCUAGAGACUACUCAUUGGACAGCAUGGAAUAGAGCAUUUCCGUUAUUGCCAGAAAUUCUUCUGGAUAGCACUGCUCUAACUACAAGGUGACAUUUUAAUUGGGAGAAUAAGAUAUAGUAUAUAAAGUUAUUGGGGAAAUCUUAGUACACUACAGAUCAAGCCUCAUUAGAAUGUGUACUUCUUAAGAACAGGGUAAUCUCUAAGAGUUCGGGCUCUGGCUUCAGACUGUGGCUCCAUCACAUGCUGACCUUGGGUAAAUUACUUAACCUCUGUAUCUGUAAAAGGGGGAUGAUAAUAGUACCAAAUUUCAGGGUGGAUAUAGGGAUUAAAUGAGAUAAUCUGUGAAUGACUCUUAGGCUAAAGUCUAGAACGUGACCUUCAAGAAAAGUUAGGUAUUUUUAUAGCAAUAUACAUUAUUAUAAUAAAGGUUUUCUUUUUAAAAAAUUGUAUCCUUAGCACCCCUCACUGUACUUAGCUAAUAGAAAGUGCUUGGUAAAUGCUGAGUCGAUGAAAAAUUGUAAUGCUACACUGAUUUUAUGGAUAUGAGGGCCUCUAUUAAAAAUGAAAACUGAUCUUUCUACCUCUGUUGAAGGGUAGAGGCCAUUUUAGGGGAAUUUAGGCAGAAUUGUCAUCUCACUUUUUCUGGGGUAAAGAACCCUGAAUGAUGAGACUUUGGGGGUAGACAGAGAGAAGCAGAAAGGCCUUCAGCUCUUAAAGGAAGAAAAGAGGGUCACUUGCCCUCCUUUUUUUUGCUCCUCAGGGCAGGAAUUGGAUAGUGGGAGACAACUGGAUCCCUGAGUUCAGGCAUCAGGUGUUCACCCAAGGGACUUCCUGGAGGAGCACUGGUAACCUCUCAUGAAACUGGAGUUCCAGAAACACUGGCAAAUACUGCUGCAACACCUUGUCAAAAUGAAAGCUCCCUGAUUCUUCUACCACCACCACGAUAAGCUACAGCGGCGGUCUUCAAACUUUUUGGCACCAGGGACCGGUUUCAUGGAAGACAAUUUUUCCACGGACCGGGUGGGAGUGGGGGAAGAGAUGGUUCAGUGGUAAUGUGAGCG